rnacentral:rRNA from 1 species
UACGUAGGUGGCAAGCGUUGUCCGGAUUUACUGGGCGUAAAGAGCGCGCAGGCGGUCGUUCAAGUCGCGUGUGAAAGCCCCCGGCUCAACUGGGGAGGGUCACGCGAUACUGAUCGACUCGAAGGCAGGAGAGGGUAGUGGAAUUCCCGGUGUAGUGGUGAAAUGCGUAGAUAUAUGGAGGAACACCGGUGGCGAAAGCGGCUCUCUGGCCUGUAACUGACACUGAGGCUCGAAAGCGUGGGGAGCAAACAGG